AGAACAUACAUACUGGAAGGGCCAUACCGUAUUUGACCAAUGUAAUAAAAGUAUCUCCAACAUCUGUCUGUCCUUGUCUGAAUGCUUCACCGUAAUGUGCAUGCGAUUAUUAUUAUGUUUAAGAGUGUUCGCAUGUUUGAACUUUUUUC